rnacentral:tRNA from 1 species
GGGCGGGCGCCGGAGUUGGAGAGCCGGGGCAGACUGUAAAUCUGUUGCCUAAUGGCUUAGGGGGUUCGAAUCCCUUACCGCCCACCA